CACUGGUGACCAGGAGAGUUUUCUCAAAGAGCUAGCUCCCAAAAAGAAGAGACAACCCCGCAAACAAGAAAUUAAGGCUUCAUUGUGACGUUGCCAUCCCAGAAAUCCUCCUUCAGGGGCGCCACAAGGGAACAUGGCAUUGGCAACCUUCUGGACGGCAGCCCUGAAGGUCUGAAAAGGAGGAACCCACAGAUACGUCCCAGAGAACAAAAGAAAGGACCCAUCUGAGAACAAAGCCGACAUGGAGUAAAACUGACCUGGGAGAUACCAAGAGCUAGAGAGAGAUCUGGUGACACCGGGCCCUGGAUUCAGCCAUGCCUGAAGCUAGCAUCCUCUGGAUAUGACUGCUACAUGAGCACAUAAUGAACCUAGCUGGAGAAGAACAAGAGAGGUUUCCUGGAGGAGCUGACGUUUGCUGCAGCCUUGGAGGAUCGUGACCCCGUCAGGACGGGUGGGGUUGGGCUACAGUGACAAACACCCUCAGAAUCCUAGUGGCACAGUGACAGGGUUUAUUUCCUUCCCUCGUCACAUGUCCAUUUUGGUCAGCUGGGGACUCUGCUCCAAGCUUCCUCCUUCCAGGGCCCAGAGGAUGGAGUUCCCACCACCUGGAGUCGUCGGUGUGGCUGGAAUGAGAAGAGUGAUCAGGACAGGAGUUGACUCACAGGCUGGCUGUUACAAUCCCCAUCUGGACACAAAUCACUUCUGCUCCCCAUUCAUUGACAGGGCAAGUUGUAUCCAUGUGCCUAAUUUCUGGGACAGAAAGUGGAAGAGCUGAAAUGCAGGUGAACAAUCUGGUGACAUCUCAGCUCUCGGCAUCUCCCAGAUCAGUUCUGCUCCACGCUAGCUUUGUUCUCAGGCAGGUCCUUUCUAGAUUAAAUCAGUGUUUUCCCCAGCUGAGUGACAGCUCCAGAGAAGGGGUGUGAGAGGGCAUUCUAGAAGGAGAAAAAACUUGGCCAAAGGUUCAGAGGUGAAGACGUGAGGGUCUAUUCAAGGGAAAGUGGUGAGUAACCCUGUGAUUAAAGGAUGGAGAGAAAAGUCCAGACAUGUCAGGGGACAUCUCUGUUGCCACACUAGGGAGGGGCGGUGAACUUGGCAGGCGGCAAGAGCAAUAGGAGGUUUAAUUAGGCAGGACAUAUGAUUUAGAUUAUUCAAGAUGUCAGCCAAUCAUGGGAUGAAGGGAAUGGACAGGGUAGGUGAUGGAAGUGGGGUGGCUGGUGGGAACCCGGGUAAAAAUCACUGUGGUUUCACCCAGAAGCAGCUUCAUCAGGUCUGCCCCGAGCAGGCCGGUAAGUAGGUCUCUUUGCAAAUACACAAAAAUAUUUCUUAAAUACAUAUUAACCAUGUACUGGAUUGAAUCCUGUCGCCAACCCAUGCCACCCCUCCCCCCCCAAACAUUCAUUUCCACCCCUCAGAAUGUGACCACAUUUGGAAAUACAGUCUUUGUAGAGGUAAUCAGUUAAGUUCAGAUGAGGUCACAUUGGAUAAGGGUGGGCCCUUCAGACAAUGUGUCUGGUGUCCUCCUAAGAAGAGGAGAGAUACAGAGACAGAGACACAAGGAAAGAAGGCCACAUGAUGACAGAGGCAC